UCCCCUACAUUACCAGCUCCCUGACUCUGAGCUCCUGGUAGCCUGCCCAUCUAUUCACCCUGACUCCUGGGCUGCCCUCUGGCCUACCUCAGUUUCUGAUGUCUUGGUAUCCAGACCUGGCCCCUGACUCCCACUCCGACUACUAGCUCAGAUGUCACAGCUGUACAUCAUUGACACUUGCAGAUCGCCCAGCCUGAAUUUUCAAGGGCAUGGCUGACAACAUUAUAGGAGGCUGGAGGAAAAGGUAGUUCUCAGAAAGUCUGGAAGGUUCCACGAGAUUCUGCAGAGGUCCAGAACAUUCUAGGAGAUACAGACUAACACGGCUGCUACUCUGAAACCUGGAAGGGGGAGCCAUGCACAGCAAGGGCCAGGUGUCAAAGAAGAAGCACCUUGGAGUUGCAGAGACCGGUGGACAAAUCCCCAGAGGAGGCAGCUGCACCAGGAAGGAGCUAAUCCCCAGAGCAGCCAGGAGGAGGCACCACUGGCACAGAGAAAGGCAGAACACUAUCCAGUGGACAGAAAGGCAGAACGCAAUCCAGAUUGGCGGGUAGUGAUCCAUCUAUGGGGGUUCGAUUUAUCGCGUCGAGUGUAGAUGCAAUAAAAUUGAUCGCUCUGCUGUUGACUCCGGAACGCCACCGCAGCGAGAGGCAGAAGCGGAGUUGAUGGGGGAGCAGCAGCGGUCGACUCACCGCCAUCCUCACAGCCAGGUAAAUCAACUUAAGAUACGCCGACUUCUAGCUGAAGUUCCGUAUCUUAGGUUGACACCCCACCCCCACCCCCACCCCAGUGUAGACCUAGCCUAAGAGAUCUGCUUUGGGAACUAUUGUGAGGAAAUUCUCUGGCCUCUGUUCUACAAGAGUUCAGACUGGAUGAUCAAAGUGAUCCCUUCUGGUCUUGGAAUCCUUUAAUAUGAUCAUUGUUAAUUCAUUAAGCAUCCCAGCACCUCCCCGAGUGGCGUGCAAGAAAUAUUAUACCUAUUUUAGAGAUGGAUAAACUGUGGCACAGAGAGGUUUAAGGCCAAUUUUGGGAAAAAAAUGGCCACUGAGAUUCAGAAGGGCAGAGCGUCCACUACUCCCAGUGGAGACCAGGGGAGCUCAUCACCGCUGAGAAACUGGGCUCUAGAUUUCUAAAGUCGAGCACCCAAAAUUACUGGGCAGUUUUAAAAUCAUGGACCUAAGUGUUGUCCCAAGGUCACAUGAGAAAUCUGAAUCCCACCCCUCCAGCAACUAAAAGGUAACACACACAACUUUCCAGAAUGCACAUGUAUCA